UAAGAGAGAGAGAGAAGUUUUUAUUUUAGACAUGAUAUUUAAUUACAAGUUUUCUCACAAUUGGCUGGAAAAGCUUGUUUUAAUUUUAUUUUAGAAAAUAGACAUUGGUGGGAGCAGAGAAUGAGUUGAGAUAGUGGAUAUGUAAACCAAAUCUCAGUAUGAGGAUUUAAUUGAAUAUGUGACAGACUAGUCUAGUUCUGUGUGUCCCUGUGAGGCGAGGGGGUUUCCUGCUGUAAGGCACUUGCAGCGUUCAGCCUGGGCGUUUUCGAUUUGAGCUUGCUGUCUUUUUUUUUUUUUUUUUUACUCAAUGAGUGUCCUUUAUUUAACCCCGUCGAUUCAUAAAGUUCUCUGCGGUGCAAUUGGGACUGCCCUGUCAUAUGACUAAGCCUGUGAUUGGUCAGCAGCUAAUUGGCGGUUCUCUAUAAGAACUCCCUGCAUUAGAGCUAACUGAAGCUUUCCUCUCUUCCACUGCUGAAUUACCCGUAGAUUGUAACUCUGAGAUUAGAGUGAUUCAGCAACAUGUGAUAACAAAGUUAUCAGUGCUGUGGGUUUGGCCAAGCUGUUGACAGACAGUAAAGCCUGCUGAAGCCAACUUGGAUUAAUGAGCGUCACCUAUGAACUGGAAUGAAAUGCUGAUAGCUCCUUACUUUGGAGAGUGACUGAAAGAAAACAGAUCAUUCAUACAGUAUACAACAAAGGCAUUUUAUAAUCUGAUUUGUCUACCUGUGAUGAAGAAUUUUAGUUAAUGGAAGCUGCAGCAGUCUGUCACCAGGAAAUAUACUGCUUUAUUCAGAAUGGGUCCCAGGAGGUGUUGCGGAAGGGCAAAGGAGGCUGGACAUCUCCUCUACACUCUCACAACUCCUGCAGUUCCUAGGGCUAGGCAACUUUUCCAACUCGCCUCCAUGUGCAAUGACUUCCAAGGGGUAGCUGUGGCAGCUGGGGACUGCUGGAGCACACUGCACUCUGACCAUGCCUUCCUCCCCUUACAAAUCUACUGCGGUAUGGUACGGAGCCAGCAAUGCCAGUUCUACACCCCCUGGAAUUCUCCUACACCAGAGCUUGAAGGCUCUUUUGUGCUGCUAGAAAAACCUAAAGCAGCCUUAUCAGGGCUGAGCAGCCACCCCCUUGUCUUCGUCCUCACCUGCAAAGCAUCUAGCCUGCUAUGA
rnacentral:lncRNA from 1 species